rnacentral:rRNA from 1 species
AGAAUCAACGCUGGCGGCGUGCCUAACACAUGCAAGUCGAACGAGAAAGUGGAGCAAUCCAUGAGUAAAGUGGCGCACGGGUGAGUAACACGUGACUAACCUACCCUUGAGUGGGGGAUAACCUAGGGAAACCUGGGCUAAUACCGCAUAAUACCCACGGGUCAAAGGAGCAAUUCGCUUAAGGAGGGGGUCGCGGCCGAUUAGUUAGUUGGCGGGGUAAUGGCCCACCAAGACUGUGAUCGGUAUCCGGCCUGAGAGGGCGCACGGACACACUGGAACUGAAACACGGUCCAGACUCCUACGGGAGGCAGCAGUGGGGAAUUUGCGCAAUGGGGGAAACCCUGACGCAGCAACGCCGCGUGGAGGAUGAAGCCCCUUGGGGCGUAAACUCCUUUCGAUCGGGACGAUUAUGACGGUACCGGAAGAAGAAGCCCCGGCUAACGUUCGUGCCAGCAGCCGC